CCAUGGCCGCGCGCUCCCGCCGGAACUGCUCCCGGCCACGCGCGUCCCCUCCGGAACUGCUCCGGGCCGCGCCCGUUCCCGCCGGAACCGUUCCAUGCCCACUCGCGUGCCCCACGGAACCGCUCCCUGGCCACGCGCGUUUCCCCCCGGAACCGCUCUCCGGUGGCGCGUACUCCUGCCCGGAAGUGCUCCUGGCCACACGCGCGCUCCCGCCCGCCGCGCGCCCCCGAGAGCCGGGCCAUGGCGGAGGGCGGCGGCCGCGCCGGCGGCUUCAGGAAGGACACCGUGGAUCGGCUUCUCCGCCUCCAUUUCCGGGACGGGAGGACCCGAGUUAACUCCGACGCGCAGCUGCUGAUGGCCGAGUUCCUGAAGGUCUUCGUCCGAGAAGCGGCAGCACGGGCAGCUCGGCAGGCUCAGGCAGAGGACCUGAACAGCGUGGAUACGGAGCAGCUGGAGAAAGUGUUGCCACAGCUGCUUCUGGAUUUCUAGAAGCCUCCUGAAGCACAUCACCUGUCAGCAGACAGUCCUGACCUGACAUGUGUCUCAGCCUCAGAGACACUCUGGGAUGAACAGUCUCAACCUUUUCUUCCUCUGGUAUUUUGCUUCUGUUUUCUCUUUCCUUUACCAAACACAAGACAGCCCAGAGCAGUGAUGCUGUCAGAUACUAUUUUUGAGAAGAGGCUGCCACAGGCUUGUUUUGUUCAGCUGAGUGCAUAAGUGAUUUCCAUCUUGCUGCUUCCUCCUGUAACAGUGGCCUGUAUGUCACAACACGUAAGAAGUUGUUGCUUUCUCAGCUAACAUGAUAAAGACGUGCUGCUUCACAGAGAUGCAUCGAAAGACUUAAUGGCUGGAAAUACCUUCAAGCAGGCUACCUUCAAGCAGGCAGCUGUAACAGCAACUCCAGGUGCAGCUCCAGGCCUUUCUAAUGAAUAGGUCAUUAACAGGAGCUUAGUCACAGGCUCUUGCCAAGAGCAGAUUUCAGAUCCUCAUCUCUGCCUCCACUCUGAUGCCUACUACUGAAACAGCAGUUCUGAAGUUGCUGCCCUCAAAAGGCUGAAGUUCCCUGACAGAACUGCUGAUGUGGAUGUCCCCAGUAAAGCAGCAACUGAAUUGUAGCAGCAGCUAAAAGUAACUUUGUACAGGGAAAGGCGGUUGAAGGCAGCAAUUUUUCAUUACUGUGAUUAAACUGGGUUUGAUGCACAGCUAAGUUACACAAGGGUCAAGCACAGGCAGAGCUGCCUGAGGGAACACAGUCAACAAUGUAAAGCCCCUACACUUAACCCAUGAAACUGCCCCAGGAAUACUGAUAUUGCUGCUUGUGUCCCUGAAGUUGUUUUCCCAUGUCAGGGACUUGCAGCAGAUAGUUACGGUGUGCUAGCCCUUUACAAAAGCUGAAAUAAUUAAAACAGCUAAGCAAAUCAGUUAAGCAGAUAGUACUAUUUGAUGUCACCUGUGCUCUUCAAAAAACAAGGACCAGCACAUCUGAAGGCACACUGCAAUUUCCUCCCAACCACACUGCUUCUGCACAUUCUAAUCCUGGAAACCAAGAACACCAGCACAAGUAUUUCACCACAUAUCAUUAGCAAUGGCUCCUGGUUUCCCCACAGGUUAUCUGUAUAAAUUCAGCAAGGCAGCUCUAGCUACCAUCUACCUGUGAUGUCUGACACGAACAAACGUGAUACAGCCCUGAGCCAAACACCAACAGUCCUACAGUGAGCAGCGCAGGCUCAGCUCACGCUUUAUCAACUAAAGAGUAAUAAAGUUUGAACAUUAUGUGA